CUAUUUUUAUUUAUUUAUUUUUAAAGAUUUUAUUUAUUUAUUGGUCAGAGAGAGAGAGCACAAGCAGGGAGAAACAGGCGGAGGGAGAAGCAGGCUCCUCACUGAGCAAGGAGCCUGAUGCAGGACUUGACCCCAGGACCCUGAGAUCACGACCUGAGCCGAACGCAGCUGCUUAACCGAAUGAGCCACCCAAGUGUCCCAGUCCUCUAUUUUUAGACGUCCUGGGGACAGGCUUUGUAUAAAGGAGAGGUUGGAGCUGCUGAUUUACAUAGGACUGGCUGGUACGGGGUGCCUUCCCUGGUUCCCUGUUAGUGAUGUGAGGCUUGGGUCUACUGAUUGCAUCUUGACAUGAAUUUUGUCAGCAGAAUCAUUGGCUAGCUUAUGCCCCGGACCUUCUGUUUCUGUGAUCAUAAUCACAUGUGGGUAUAAGUUAUGGGACUCACAUCUGUGUUCAUUGCCCAAUAAGCGUGUUUGUUACAUCUGAAAAGCCCCAUGAAAUGAAAAUGAUGGUGGUUCUUCCAAUUACAAACUAAUUCUUCAUGUAUUUUGAAAGCUUUCCCUAACAGCCAUCUUUAUAUAGGCUGUCUGGAUAUGACUUCUCCACCAAAAAAAAUUAAAUACUAGCUUGAUGGCAGUUGUCGGUUCCAUUUGUACAAGUGGCUCAACUAAUUAUUUUAAUUUUGUUACGGUGAAUGCAGCAAGCAAAGACAAGCAGCAUCUCUAUUUGAAAUCAUGUGCCUGCUUGAAAAAUCGUCCUGCUGUUAGUGGUGAUGCUUUUGAUUAAGAAAGCCUUUUGAGGCAGGAGUGAAUGUUAGUCUUACAGCCCCAGUCAGGGCUAUUCCCGAGGAAGAUUUGUGUCCUCAGGCUGAGUUAGAGUGUUUUUAAAUGUUGCUAUCAUCAUAUUACAAACAGUCCUUAUAUUUCUGGCUUUUCAUCCCACAAUUUAGGUUUUUACCAUAUGUUGGUAUGGUCACCAUAAUAAUGAAUGACUACCCAAAAUUCAAGUAUGCUCUUUUGGCUGUAAUGGGUGCAUAUGUGUUACUAAAACGUGAAUCCUAAAAUGAGAAGAAGUUCCUAGGACCAGACUGAAAUGAAUUCUGUUGAAAAAGAGAAAAUCUAAUAUAUUUGAAAUGUUCCACUUUCUGUAUAAAAGGAAACAACGUGGAGACAUUUUUGUCUUGUCCAAAUAAAUGAUUCAUCAGUAAAAAUUGUUUUCUUUUG
rnacentral:lncRNA from 1 species